ACUGUUUCUUUGCCUUUUGGCUAAGAUCAAGUGUGCUAUCAUAACCAGAUGAUGUCCAUUAUUUGGAUUGUUGGUCUUCAUGACUUCAUGACUCCAGAUCAUGACAAUCAAGAUCCAGAUUGUAGUAAGGGGAUUACAUAAAGCCAGUCUUUCCAAAAAAUGU